rnacentral:rRNA from 1 species
AGUGGCGCACGGGUGAGUAACGCGUGGGUAAUCUACCUCCGAAUUGGGGAUAACAUUGCGAAAGCGGUGCUAAUACCGAAUAAUAUCUCUGGAACCCCGGUCCUGGUGAUCAAAGGUGGCCUCUACAUGUAAGCUACCGCUUGGAGAUGAGCCCGCGUACCAUUAGCUAGUUGGUAGGGUAACGGCCUACCAAGGCUGCGAUGGUUAGCUGGUCUGAGAGGAUGAUCAGCCACACUGGAACUGACACACGGUCCAGACUCCUACGGGAGGCAGCAGUGAGGAAUUUUGCGCAAUGGGGGAAACCCUGACGCAGCAACGCCGCGUGAGUGAUGAAGGCCUUCGGGUCGUAAAGCUCUGUCAAGUGGGAAGAACCUGCUCUGUGAUAACACCAUGGGGCACCGACGGUACCACUGAAGGAAGCACCGGCUGACUCCGUGCCAGCAGCCGCGGUAAUACGGGGGGUGCUAGCGUUAUUCGGAAUCAUUGGGCGUAAAGGGCGCGUAGGCGGUCUUUUAAGUCAGAUGUGAAAGCCCUCGGCUUAACCGAGGAAGUGCAUUUGAUACUAAGAGACUUGAGUAUGGGAGAGGGAAGCGGAAUUCCUGGUGUAGCGGUGAAAUGCGUAGAUAUCAGGAGGAACACCGGUGGCGAAGGCGGCUUCCUGGACCAAUACUGACGCUGAGGCGCGAAGGCGUGGGGAGCA